UAUAUGACCUGGAAGAACACCAACAAUAAGAAUUUUAAACCUCACAACAAUAAUGAUUUCAAGAAUUAUAGCCUAGAUGCGUUUCCAUAAGGGAUGUACAAAGCCUGUUGCUAUAUUUUCAAGAGUAGGAGGCAAUGAACCACAAUCCCAAGAAACAGUCAUUUCUAGACUUGAUCAAUUGUGAAUUUCUGAGUCAGUGAUGAUUGCCCAUGUGGAGGUGCUUACUGCAACAACAUUGCUUUUGAGAGAAGAUAUUCUACUACCAGGAGAAAUUACCAGUACAAGGAUAGAAGUCAUGUUUAAAAAACGAAUUAGAAUAUUGCCUGUCUUUUGAACCGGAUCCUAUACUGCAAGCUGCCAUUUGAAGGCUGGUGCUUCUCAGAAAUGAUAUUACACAUCAGAGAGGUGGCUUUGGUAUCAUCGAUUGAUUGAGAAGACUUCUUCAGGUAUAUAAGUAAAAUUGAUAAUAGGAGAGUUCUGCUUGAAUACUUUGACAUGCCAUCAGCUUUUCUGAUGAGUAUUUGCCAGGACAGACCAAGCUUAUGAGAUGGAGAGGUAUGAAUUUUGAAGAUAGGGAGUUUGUUUUCCUCUCUUCCCCAACCCCUAAUGCUGAUAAGCUAGCAACAAAAGACCUGUUACCUGGGGUGGCUACUAUCUGUGGGAGAUGAGAGGAGGCCAAGAUCAUCUCCAAACAAAAAUGCAAAUGAAACAAAAAUAAAGGAGAAGGAAAUGGAGUUACCAGUAAUCAAGAAGAAGAACAUUUUCCGUGAGCUGGAACUAUUCUUUGAUCUUUCAAGCCUUCAGAAUAUUCCCCCCAUUUCUUCUUUAGUUCUAUUCCUGACAUGUCAUGGAAUUAUAGAUUUACAGCUUAGAAAGGAUGCAAAAGGCCAUCUUGGCCAAACUUCUCAGUCUACCGAUGAGGAAACUGAGGUCUAUACAGGUUAAAUGACUUCAUCAAAGUCACUCAGAUAAUAAAUGAGAGUCAUGAUUUGAAUCCUAAGAUAUGAAUGAUAGACUGAUCUUUUAUUAUCAUAAGCCAAGAAUUUAAUACCUUUUCUUGAACUAGGAAGUAAUUAUUUUUAAAAACAAAAGUCUAGAGGUCUACAUUCUCUCUACCCAGUGUUUAUUGUAUUCAAUUUAAGGAAGUAUUCUUCUAUAAAAGUAGAUAGAAAAAUUAAGCAUUUAUCACCUGGCAGUUAACUGGUUCAGUAACUAGAGCACUGGUACUAGAAUCAGGAAGACUAGACUUCAAAUCCAGUUUCAAACACUUACUAACUGUGUGACCCUGGACAAGUCACUUAACAUCUGUUUGCCUGAAUCUGCUGGCAGAAGAAAUGGCAAACCACUACAGUAUUCUUGCCAGGCUGCGAAGAAGACUAAGAAGAAAGCAGAAAAGGCUGCAGUUUAUCUGGAAGAGAAGUGAGCAUAGAUAGGGCUUUCCAUUAAAUGGUCUUAUGCUUACUAUUAGUCUAAAUAUUUUCUCUCCUCAGGUAGAUUUAAGUUUCUUGAAGGUAGAAACUAUAUUAUCUUCAUUUCUUUUGAAUUUUUCAAAAGCCCCUAAUAUCAUUCUGCAUGCAGUAUUAUUUUAUAAGUGCUUUCAUUCUCCAAAUGUUACAGAUUCUGUUUUCUUUUUAGAGUGGACUCCAGAAAGGGGCAGUGUGAUGCAGUUAAUAGAUAGAGUUAACUUGGAAAUCAAGAACACUAGAGUUCAAGUCUUGCCUCUCAGAUGUGCUGGCUGUGUGAUACUGAACGAGUCACUUACCCUUUCAAUCUCUACCCCUACAUCCCAUGACAACUCUCUAAGACUAUAUAUUGUACUAAUCAAAACAGUUGAAGACAAAAAGAAUAAAGCUAGGGGUUCUCCAGGAUGGGCAAUGUUUACUUUAUAAAUUAGGAGACCAAAAUACCUGUGAAUAUGUAUCUUGAUGCUCCCUGAAAACUUGUUGCUUUCAGCUAUUUCUUUGUAGUUCUAAAAGGUGAUGGAUGUGUCUAGGAGAAAUUUUUCUUCCACAGUAUCUCAUUGAGAAGACUGAUGAAGAUGGGACCAGACAGACAGAGAAAUAAAGCUAUAGAUGAAAAACAGAAAUUAACAUGGAAAGAUAAAAGCUAAGAGUAUCAGAUUCACCAGAUGGAUUUUGGUACAAUGAUAUGGACUGAGGUAAAAAAUUGGAGGUAAAAUAAAGGUACAAGUCAAACAUAUACCUAUUCAGUUGUUGGGAAAAAAAAUAGAGCCAUUUGAAAAAAGUACCAGAAAAAGAAUUGGGAAUAAUUAAUUUUGGCAGAGGUAAAAGAAAGAAAGAAAGAAAGGAAACUCCUAGAAGAUGAUAAAUGCCCUUGGUUCUCAUGUCCUUGCCAAUUUUUUAAAAAAGAUUAUAGUUAAACAUGACUUUUCCAAGGCAACAGGAAUGUUUCAAAAAUAUGCAGUACCAAUAAUACACAAAAAUCCCAUUUAGAAAGCAUCAUUGCCAGUGAGGGAGAAGGGUGAAGGAUGGAAGAAGAAGAGAUUUGGCUUCAUUUUUAUUUUUCACAUUUUAUGCAGACAUCAUUUAUAGUAUGCGUUAGUUCCCAAGCUUCUGAAAACAAAGGUUGAUCUUUUAAACAUCAAUUCAAUAAGCAAUUUAUUUAGCACUGUCUUCCUGGCACCAUGAUAAAUGUCAGGAAUACAAAUAAGAAAAGAAAGACAGUCCUUGCCCUCAAGGGACUUAAAAUUUAAUAAGAGAUAAUAAUAGAAAAGGAAGCUGAAAAAGAAAAAUGACCAUGGGGGAGGAGGGGGAAGUUGAUGUUCCAGGAGUCAAGACCAAGCAGGGUUACUAAAGGAAAGUGUAGAGUUACCUGGAAAAGCUAGAUCUCAGCCUCUAUAAAGGAAAAAUUUGAAAUAAAUUUGGUGCUCUACCAUCCUGCCCUCUAAUCACAGGGGAAGAGGAGGCUGAGAGAAUUAAGCUGAGUAUCCCAAACUGAGCCUUUCCAAUAUUCCUAUAGGAAUGCUGAAUUGAUUGGAGCCAUGAAAUGCCACAAAUUCCAUAUAAUUAAGGUUGGGGGUGAUUCAAAGAUGGAGUCACUUUAAUAUGGUAGUAGUAACCUGCAGGGACCAAGGAGAGAAAAACACUACCCACCAGCAGAGGACAAACGAUGGGAGUAAAAACACUGAGGAAGGACAACAGCUUGACUACAGGGGUGGAGGGGAUAUGAUCUAGGAGAGACUCUGAAUGAAUACCCUACUACAGAAACCAAUAGCAGGGAAAUGGGCUCAGGUUGAGGAUGCAUGUGACACCCAGAGGAAUCACGCUUCGCCAAUGGGAGGAGUUGGGGGAGGGGAGAGGGAAAAAAAAAAGGUGAUCUUUGUUUCUAAUGAAUAACAUUUGAAAAUGACCAAAUAAAAUAAUGUUUAAAGGAAAAAAAUAAAACUGUAUGUCCUGUUGAAAUCUGAAAAAAUAUAUAUAUGGUAGGAGUAAGCUGCAAUACAUUACAAAUCAAGAGCUAUGAAAGAGAAGUGACAUUAAGAUUGUCAUCUGAGGGGGCAGCUGGGUAGCUCAGUGAAUUGAGAGCCAGACCCAGAGAUAGGAGGUCCUGGGCUCAAAGCUGGCCUCAGACACUUCCCAGCUGUGUGACCUGGGCAAGUCACUUAACCCCCAUUGCUUAACCAUUACCACUCUUCUGCCUUGGAACCAAUACACAGUAUUGAUUCUAAGAUGGAAGGUAAGGGUUUAAAAAAAAGAAUGUCAUCUGAGAAAUACAAUGACUCAGGAGAAAAGGUAGACCAGUCAGAUGGCAAGGGCAAAAGAUAAAUGAUAGAAGCUUGUCUGCUCCAUUGGUUUCUACAUAAUUCCAAGGAAUUAGGAGGAGAUACUUCCCUGCUUCCCCAUCAUGUUGUCUGAACCUUGAUAGAGGUUGAUAUGGGAUAUGUUGGAAUGUGCAUCCCUAGAGGAAGCAGCCAUAUCACUGACCUAAUUUAUAAAUUUUUCACUGUAUCCAAUAAAGCAUGUACAAUUUAUACUUGUAAAUUGAGAAAGAUAGAUGAAAUAUAUGAAGGAUAAAUCAUGAUCCCCAACUACUUUUCCUCCUCCCCAGAUUAAGGACAACCCUGUAUGAACAGAUAGGGUAUAAGUAUCAGAACCAGAAUUCAUACCCCUGACUCCAGAGUUCAUACUAUUCAUUAUUCCAUACUGCCUCCCCAAAAUCAUCUUGUACUAUGUACUUGGUUCCCAUAGUAUGAAAUCACUUGAUAAAUUCUAGACUGAGUUUUUGCCUAAAUCUUGGGGGACUAAACUGUUGAAAGACAAGAAGAUCACUUCAUUCUUUAGUAGAGGUCAUCAUUUUCUCCAUAUGGAUGAGUUUUUCUCAUUUUUGAGCACAAGAGAAUCCCUUUAGACUCUCAAUUCAAAGAUAAUCAAACUUCAUCCUCUUAGUUUAUUCUAAAACCUUUUCUCUUGUAAGAGUAGGAAUGAAUACAGAUAAAGGUCUUAGAAAACAUGGAAUCUGAAGUAAGAGGACUGAGCUUGAAUACUACUUAAUGUGGGAUCCUAGGUAAGUUACUAACUGUCUCUGGGCUUCCAUUUCCCCAUUUAUAAAGUGAGGACAUUGGACUUGAUGGUUUCUGAGACUCCUUUAGAGACCAGAUCUAUCUUACUAUGAUAAACAUGAUAGGACAAUAAAUGUUUACAAAUGUUCAUUAUAAAUAUGUCCUUGAGAUAAAAAUUGCUUACCGAAGCAAACCUUCUACAUUAAUCUAUCAGUCACACAACACCCAAAUCUCAUGUCCUCUGCUACUCUUCCUGCU